rnacentral:lncRNA from 1 species
UAUAAUUAUAAUUGUAAUAAUAAAUUCUAAAAUAAAAAAUCCACAAUGUAGUAUAUAUUUCUAAUUGAGUUCAAAAAUCCAAAUAAAAAUUCAAAUUCAAGUCAAUAUCUAAUGCAAUUGAAUGUAAACAAUAUUUGAAAACUAAAAUGAAUACAAACAAAUAAGUAAGAAAAUAACAUGUCUAUGAUCAUCAUCAUCAGAGUGAAUACAAAAUUAAUAGGACCUGUGAAAAAAAUGAAACGAUCAGUAAAUAAAUAGAACAAUUAGUACAUAAAAAGAAAUAUAUAAACCUUAAGUUAAUAAAAGGCCAACUUUUAUUUCUUACAGUAACAUACUGUAAAUUGAAAGCUAGGGAGAGAGAGAACUUCAAUCACAUGAUUUCUCAUAUUCUCCAAAGCAUCAAGUUAAUUGGACUAAAAUACAAUUUGUUAACAUAAAUGAAAAAAGAUUGACUGAAUCACUACAUUUUAGCAAAUUUAAUUUGAACUUCCUUAAUAAGUAAAUCACCUGAUUUGUGUUACGAAAACAACAAUCCUUUGACAGUAGCCUGAACAUUUUGUAC